AUACGGAGGGUGCAAGCGUUAUCCGGAUUUAUUGGGUUUAAAGGGUGCGCAGGCGGACUUGUAAGUCAGUGGUGAAAUCCCGGGGCUCAACCUCGGAACUGCCAUUGAUACUGCAAGUCUUGAGUUUGGUUGAAGUGGGCGGAAUGUAGCAUGUAGCGGUGAAAUGCAUAGAUAUGCUACAGAACACCGAUCGCGAAGGCAGCUCACUAAACCAACACUGACGCUCAGGCACGAAAGCGUGGGGAGCGAACAGGAUUAGAAACCCUAGUAGUCC
rnacentral:rRNA from 1 species